rnacentral:rRNA from 1 species
GACGAACGCUGGCGGCGUGCUUAACACAUGCAAGUCGUACGGUAAGGCCCUUUCGGGGGUACACGAGUGGCGAACGGGUGAGUAACACGUGAGUAACCUGCCCACAACUUUGGGAUAACGCUAGGAAACUGGUUCUAAUACUGGAUAUGUGCUCCUGCUGCAUGGUGGGGGUUGGAAAGCUCCGGGGGUUGGGGAUGGACUCGCGGCCUUUCAGCUUGUUGGUGGGGUAGUGGCCUACCAAGGCGGCGGCGGGUAGCCGGCCUGAGAGGGUGACCGGCCACAAUGGGACGGGGAUACGGCCCAGACUCCUACGGGGGGCAGCAGUGGGGAAUAAUGCACAAUGGGCGCAAGCCUGAUGCAGCAACGCCGCGGGCGGGAAGACGGGCUUCGGGUUGUAAACCGCUUUCAGCAGGGGCGGAGCUGUUUGUGACGGUACCUGGAGAAGAAGCACCGGCUAACUACGUG